GAGGAAAGACGACAGAGAUUCUAGGAGGGAAAUAGAUAAACCUGGCUAAGUUGGGUGUUCUCUAGUUACGUGAGCUGCACACAAGUUUACAUCAUUUUAUCAGGCUGAUAAGGAUCAAACAAAAAGCAAGGGAACGAGGGACAAAGGCUUUUCAGAGUUCUGCUGAAGCUUCUAAGGAGUUGUCCCACAUUUAAGAGGCAUUCUGAAGACUUGAAGGUGAAACAGCGCUUUACGUGGUAGGAUGGUUGCUACAAAUAUCCGUUGUGCCGAGAAAACACAAUGGCCUUUCCUGCCAGCUCGCCAUCAACUACAAAUAAA